rnacentral:rRNA from 1 species
GACGAACGCGGGCGGCGUGCUUAACACAUGCAAGUCGAACGAAAAUACCAAGCUUGCUUGGUUGAUUAGUGGCGAACGGGUGAGUAACACGUGAGUAACCUGCCCCUUACUUUCCUGGAUAACUGCUCGAAAGGGUAGCUAAUACGGGAUAUUCUGACCAGUCUGCAUGGGUUGGUUUGGAAAGGUUGUUUUUCUGGUAAGGGAUGGGCUCGCGGCCUAUCAGCUUGUUGGUGGGGUGAUGGCCUACCAAGGCUUUGACGGGUAGCCGGCCUGAGAGGGUGGACGGUCACACUGGGACUGAGAUACGGCCCAGACUCCUACGGGAGGCAGCAGUGGGGAAUAUUGCACAAUGGGCGCAAGCCUGAUGCAGCGACGCCGCGUGAGGGAUGAAGGCCUUCGGGUUGUAAACCUCUUUCGUCAGGGAACAAGGCACUACGUUUUGGUGGUGUUGAGGGUACCUGGAUAAGAAGCGCCGGCUAACUACGUGCCAGCAGCCGCGGUAAUACGUAGGGCGCAAGCGUUGUCCGGAAUUAUUGGGCGUAAAGAGCUCGUAGGCGGCUGGUCGCGUCUGUCGUGAAAACUUCCGGCUCAACCGGGGGCUUGCGGUGGGUACGGGCCGGCUAGAGUGCGGUAGGGGUAACUGGAACUCCUGGUGUAGCGGUGGAAUGCGCAGAUAUCAGGAAGAACACCGAUGGCGAAGGCAGGUUACUGGGCCGUUACUGACGCUGAGGAGCGAAAGCGUGGGGGGCGAACAGG